rnacentral:rRNA from 1 species
CGUUGGCGGCGCGCCUAACACAUGCAGGUCGAGCGCGAAAGUCCUUCGGGGCGAGUAGAGUGGCGGACGGGUGAGUAACGCGUGGGAAUCUACCCUAGAGCGGGGGACAACCCGGGGAAACCCGGGCUAAUACCGCAUACGUCCUACGGGAGAAAGAGGGCCUCUGCUUGCACGCUCUCACUCCAGGAUGAGCCCACGUCCGAUUAGCUAGUUGGUAGGGUAAAGGCCUACCAAGGCCACGAUCGGUAGCUGGUCUGAGAGGAUGAUCAGCCACACUGGGACUGAGACACGGCCCAGACUCCUACGGGAGGCAGCAGUGGGGAAUAUUGGACAAUGGGCGCAAGCCUGAUCCAGCAAUGCCGCGUGUGUGAAGAAGGCCUGCGGGUUGUAAAGCACUUUCAGUGGGGAAGAACAGAUUCGGGUCAAUACCCCGGAGCCCUGACGUUACCCACAGAAGAAGCACCGGCUAACUCCGUG